UUUAAACUCAGUUAUAAAUGAGAAAUAGUUAAACUCAGACAAAGUGUACAGGUAUUAAAUUAAACGCAGUGAUUUCGGUUAGUUCUAAGAAAAUCUACAGCUUAUCUUAUCCCUUGUUCUGUCUGUAACCCUUCAUAUCAGUGGUUUAUGUAGUAAGUCCAUGCUGUGACACAGUAUUAGGCAGCAGGGACGAACACAAGGCCAGGUCCUUAAAAGCCUUAUGAAGAAUGUUCAGGACCAAAAAUGAAUCAGUCCUGCAGACACGCUGCUAAUGUACCUUCAAUUCCAUUCCAAAGUGAAAUAUUAAUGUUUUUUUUCUUUCUGUUGAUAUUUUGCUAAUCUGAAGAUUACACAUUGUUGUAUAAACUGUUUUGUGAAUAUUUUUUACAUUUGAAUUCAGUUUUAUUAUAUAACUUACUCUUUCUAUCUCUCUCUUUAACUCAUAGAUCAUUAUAUCAACACAACAAAAACAAUCAUUAAAAUAGUUGAAUGGAAAAAUUACUUAUUAAAUAAGAAGAAAAUGAAGUUGGAUGGUAAAAAAGGCUGUUUACUUCUUGGUCAUACUUUUUUUUGGGUCCCAGAAACCUGGAAAGCAGCUUGUGUACAUCAAAAAAUGAAGCAAUAAACAAAGUAAAAAGCAUCUCAGAACACACAACAAAGCAGUUCUUAAUGCAGAUGGGCUACAAGAGAAGAAUCUGAGGCUACAGUGGACACAGGAACAACAAAACUAGACAUCGGCUGGUCUCCACGAUAGAUUUAUAGUUACAGAUGAGUGAGUGAAGUUGGGAGUUGGACUGAUUGAACCUCCAUUACACAUUUCUUUCAUGUCUUGAUGACAUUAAAGUUUGGAUGGCAGUGAAUUUGCUCCAUUUUAAUGAUAACAAGAGAUAGGUGAUGUUGUUUGGCCCAAGUGGCUCCUGUAAGUACCCCCCUGUUGACCUGGGUCCUUUGGCAUCCUAUGUUAGACCUGUGAUAACUAAUCUAGGCUUUAAAAUGGAUGAUGAUCUGAAAUUGGAUAGACAAAUUAGUGCAGUGGUCCAGUUUUAGUGCAAGUCCAGCUUUUUUCACCUAAGGCGCCUGGCAAAAAUAAAACCUAUUGUGUCCAGGCAACACUUUGAGACGGUAGUCCAUGCUUUUAUUACAUCUUGGCUGGAUUACUGUCUCGUUCGCUUAGGUCAGCUGAUCAAAUGUUUCUUGACACCAAAAGGUUAAAGAGGAAGCGUAGAGCAGACCAUGCCUGGUGCUGGUGCUGCUCCUAUGCCAGCAGUUAAAGCCUACAGCCUGAUGUAGAUCUUCUCGACUAUCAAGUUGGCAAUCUGAGCAGAGCAGGAGCAAACAAUCUGACUAACUAUCUCUGGUGUGAUUACAACGCCACCACAAUAUAAGCAACAUAAACUGCAUCAUCAUCGGCUUAAUUAUUGAGGAACGCCUCAAAAGAAUUCAUAAAACUGACAACACCACCAUCGACACCACAUACUGCAUCAACCAGAGCCUCAUGAUUAUCAAACCUCUGACCAUAGAAGACUUCCUCCUGAAAAUAGGACACUGAAGAUGCGGUAGUUUAGUGGUUAUGGAGUUUGGAAGGUUGUGAGUUCAAAUCCCAGGUUCACCAAGCUGCCACUGCCAGGCCCCUGAGCAAGGCUCUUAACACUCAAUUGCUAUGUAUAAAAUUUAGGUCAUGCUUAAGGGAGUCUGCUAAAUGACAUAAAUGUAAAUGUGAAGAUACCCAUUAAAAAUAAUUAAAUAAGUAAUAUAAAUUUUUUUUUAAAUGUCCAGUCCAACCCCUCAAACUCUACUUCCUGUCACUGAAAUUCCUCAGAUGAAAAAUGUAUAUAAUCAAUGUCCAUAUUAUUUCAGGUCUUGUUAUUAAUAAAAAUGCACGUUACCUCA